AUGAACGCUGGCGGCGUGCCUAAUACAUGCAAGUCGAGCGAACGGACGAGAAGCUUGCUUCUCUGAUGUUAGCGGCGGACGGGUGAGUAACACGUGGAUAACCUACCUAUAAGACUGGGAUAACUUCGGGAAACCGGAGCUAAUACCGGAUAAUAUUUUGAACCGCAUGGUUCAAAAGUGAAAGACGGUCUUGCUGUCACUUAUAGAUGGAUCCGCGCUGCAUUAGCUAGUUGGUAAGGUAACGGCUUACCAAGGCAACGAUGCAUAGCCGACCUGAGAGGGGGAUCGGCCACACUGGAGCUGAGACACGGCCCAGACUCCGACGGGAGGCAGCAGUAGGUAAUCUUCCGCAAUGGGCGAAAGCCUGACGGAGCAACGCCGCGUGAGUGAUGAAGGUCUUCGGAUCGGAAAACUCUGUUAUUAGGGAAGAACAUAUGUGUAAGUAGCUGUGCACAUCUUGACGGUACCUAAUCAGAAAGCCACGGCUAACUACGG
rnacentral:rRNA from 1 species